CACGUAGGGUGCGAGCGUUGUCCGGAAUUAUUGGGCGUAAAGAGCUCGUAGGCGGUGUGUCGCGUCGGCCGUGAAAACCUGCAGCUUAACUGUGGGCUUGCGGUCGAUACGGGCAUCACUGGAGUUCGGCAGGGGAGACUGGAAUUCCUGGUGUAGCGGUGAAAUGCGCAGAUAUCAGGAGGAACACCCGGUGGGCGAAGGCGGGGUCUCUGGGCCGAUACUGACGCUGGAGACGCGAAAGCGUGGGGAGCGAACAGG
rnacentral:rRNA from 1 species